GAUGAACGCUAGCUACAGGCUUAACACAUGCAAGUCGCGGGGCAGCAUGGGGGUUGCUUGCAACUCCCGAUGGCGACCGGCGCACGGGUGAGUAACGCGUAUCCAACCUGCCCUUCACCACGGGAUAACCCGGCGAAAGUCGGACUAAUACCGUAUGUUGUCCAUUGACGGCAUCCGAUUUGGACGAAAGGCUUUGCGGUGAAGGAUGGGGAUGCGUCCGAUUAGCCAGACGGCGGGGUAACGGCCCACCGUGGCUACGAUCGGUAGGGGUUCUGAGAGGAAGGUCCCCCACACUGGAACUGAGACACGGUCCAGACUCCUACGGGAGGCAGCAGUGAGGAAUAUUGGUCAAUGGGCGUAAGCCUGAACCAGCCAAGUAGCGUGCAGGAUGACGGCCCUAUGGGUUGUAAACUGCUUUUAUGCGGGGAUAAAGUGGCCCACGUGUGGGCUUUUGCAGGUACCGCAUGAAUAAGGACCGGCUAAUUCCGU
rnacentral:rRNA from 1 species